rnacentral:lncRNA from 1 species
UGGGUUUAUAUAGAGCCCAAGAAGCUUCUGGAGACUUCUACACUUAGCCAUUAGUGGGAAGAGUGUGGAAGGUUCUAGAGAUGCCUAGAGAAGUCCACACAACUCUACACUAUGGUGGAAGGCAUGAAAGGAGUCCAAAGCUUUCUAAAGAAUUCCAGAGGUCUCUUAUAUAUUAUUGUACAUAGGUUUGUACAUAGAAUGGAGUAGGGUGUUCUAGAAUAUUCUUGAAUUGUAAGGAACCCUCCAAGGUUCCAAAGAGUUCCAUUGGUACCAAUAAAUAGGUGAAGACCUCAUUUGGCCAAGGCACCAAGCAAGUGAGUUCUUAAAGCACUUGUAAAGGCUUUCUUGAGUAAUAAAAGCUUUCAUUCCUUAAGAGUUGCCUACUACGCCUUCUCAAGCUUCCGAGUUGUGAGCAUCUUAGCCUAGCAAGCUAAGCGUUGAGAGUAAGGCUGAAUUAGCAAGAUCAAACAUCUUGACUUGUCUAAGUGUCGCAUGAGCUUAGGAAACGACUAAGUCUGUGACAAGUGGUAUCAGAGCGCGGCUACGAAGCGGGCAUAGUAAAUGACGCAUGUCGGGCUCUAACGUGGAGGAGACUAGCGAAGAAACCCAUGUGAGGGAGAUUGAGCCUACUGCACGAGGCAGGGACAGGAAGGAUAAGUCUCGGGACGCCAUAACCAACAUGGAGGCAAGGCUAGCCAAGGUGGAGUUAGCCAUGGCAGACACUCGGGAAGGGGUGGACUUGAUCGAGCAAGGCAUGGAGAAGGGCUUAGAGGAUCUAAGGGAGUAGAUACAAGACUUUCGUGAGGGAGUGCUAGGCUCGCAAGUUUAGUCGGUGUCACACAAGGAGUUCAUGUCCUUCCAAGACAAGGUCAUGAACAUGUUCGCUAGCGUGGAGUCAAGGGUGGAGGCCCUGGCUAAGCGUAUGGAGGCCCGAGACCAGGAAAUUUGAUAAGAGCUAACCAUCUACAAGAAUGCGGUAUCAGCACGAGUCAUGGCCACUCAUGAGGCACCAAGGGUGGAGGUGCCCAAGCCACACAUGUUCAGUGGCAAGAGGGAUGCCAAGGAGCUGGAUAACUUCUUGUGGCACAUGGAGAGCUACUUUGAGGCUAUCACACUGACGGAUGAAGCCACUAAGGUACGCAUCGUAACCCUUUACCUCAAUGAAAAUGCUACUCUAUGGUGGCAUCGAAGGUUUGCCGACAUAGAAAAAUGGACGUGCACCAUAGACACAUGGGAUGCCUUUAAACGAGAAAUCAAAAGGCAAUUCUAUCCUGAAAAUGUGGCUUACCUAGCAAGGAAGAAUAUGAAACGUCUCAAGCACACGGGCUCGAUCCGUGAGUUUGUCAAAGAGUUCUCUAUGCUUAUGCUUGAGAUAGCUAACAUGUCCAAGGAGGAGCUACUAUUCAACUUCAUGGACAACUUGCAAAGCUGAGCCGAGCAAGAGUCAAGGAGACGUGGUGUCCAAGACCUAGCCACGGCAUGUAGAUUAUAGAAUGGGAGACUCCUCCAAGCCCAAGCCACCAUCCAAGGGUAACUAGGCCAAAGGUGGGAGAGACAAGGGAUCACGAGGCUACACUUCUAAGGAAUGAUCAAGCAAAGGCCCUAGUGGCAAGGAUGGCAAGGGUAAGGAUAAGCGGAAGGAGUUCACACCCAGGACCAAUUGCUUCCUAUUUGAUGGUCCACACUAGGCACGAGACUGUCCCAAGAGGAAAAACUUAAAUGCUAUGAUUGAGGAAAAUGAGAAGGAGGGCGAUGCUCAUGUGGGAUCGUUACAACUCCUAAAUGCCCUCAAGGCCAAGCCGGUACCUAAGACGCCUCAAAGCAAAAGGCUGAUGCAUGUGGAAGCCCUUAUAAAUGGGAAGGCCACCAAGGCCCUAGUGAACACUAGUGCCACUCAUACUUUUGUCUCGGAAAAUGAGACAAAGAGGCUGGAGCUCCAAGCAUCCAAGAAGGUUGGCUCAAGGCAGUCAAUUUAGCUGCCAAGCCAUCACAUGGAGUAGCUCGCGGGAUAACUAUGCACAUCGACUCAUGGGAAGGAAGGGUCGACUUCACAGUGGCAUCCAUGGACAACUUCAAGAUGGUACUAGGGAUGGACUUCUUACAAAGGGUCAAGGUUGUGCCACUACCUUUCCUACACUCAAUGGCUAUCCUAGAGGAAGAGAAGCCAUGCAUGGUCCCUACAGUCACCGAAGGUAUGCUCAAGACCCCUAUGUUAUCAGCUAUGCAAGUAAAGAAGGGCUUACAAAGGAAAGAGAUGACCUAUCUAGCCACCUUUAAGGAAGAAAUGGAUGACGGGUUGGGAGAACCCAUACCUAAGGAAAUCAAGGGGGUCCUUGAUGAGAUCAAGGGGGUCCUUGAUGUGUUCAAGGACGUGAUGUCGCCCAAGUUGCCUAAGAGACUUCCUCUUAGGAGAGAGGAAGAUCACAAGAUUGAGUUAGAGCCGGGAGCCAAGCCCCAUGUUAUGGGGCCAUACAGGAUGGCACCGCCUGAGCUAGAGGAGCUAAGGAGACAACUUAAGGAGUUUCUAGACGCAGGAUUCAUCCAACCAUCCAAGGCUCCCUAUUGCACCCCGGUCCUGUUUCAGAAGAAACAUGAUGGGCCCCUAUGGAUGUGUAUUGACUACCGGGCACUCAAUAAGGUGACGGUAAAGAACAAGUACCCUAUUCCACUCAUUGUUGACUUGUUCAAUCAACUUGGUAGGGCGAGAUACUUCACAAAGCUAGACUUAAGGUCGGGCUACUACCAAGUAAGGAUUGCAGAGGAAGACGAGCCAAAGACUACAUGUGUGACCAGGUAUGGCUCAUAUGAAUUCUUAGUGAUGCCCUUCGGCCUCACCAAUGCCCUAGCAACGUUCUGCACACUCAUGAAUAAGAUCUUCCACCCAUACUUAGACAAGUUAAUGGUGGUGUACUUGGAUGACAUAGCCAUCUACAGUAACACCCUGAAGGAGCACGUAGAGCAUUUAAAGAAGGUCUUUAAGAUCCUAAGGCAGAAUGAUUACUACUCAAAAAGGGCUAUUUGAUAGCUUGUAAUUAACUCUUUUAAACACUUUUGAGUAGUAAUUAUUGCCCUUUAACCCAAUUAACAUAUUAAGGACCUUUGCAAUCACUUCUAAUCACUUUGUGUAAGUUUUGGUGUUUUUGUUAGUAAUUUGAUCACCAAAGCAAUCCAAGAUGGAGGAGAGUUAUUUGGAAUCCAUGGCAAAGUAAUGGUAAGCUCAGGAACAUGAAGAAUCAGAGCUUUGAAGCCUUAAAGUCCUUUACCAUAACCAAUCCGGAAUGCAAGGAGGAGAAGUAAAGAGAGAAUCUACCUUGAAGCAUUCUUGAUGACAGUCAUUUCAGCCACUUUUGGAGUACUUCCUAAAGUCCAAUUUAUGCAUGCUUUAUGUCGUUUCGAAGAUCGGGAAGUCAAAAAUCCAAUGCUUCAAACGGUUCGCAAAUCAGAGUUGAAAUGAAGAAGUUAGAGCCAAUGGAAGCAAAUCACUCCAAGCUGAAGGCCAAUUUCGCAGGGCUGCGAAAUCAACCUUUGGCUGCGAAAUCAGCCUUCGGCUGCGAAAUGAUUUCGCAGCCAUCUUGUUCGUCUGCUAAAUUUCGCAGCCAUUUUGUGCGCCUGCGAAAUUCUCCCGAGUGCUUCUAGAUAUUUGCGACCAUCGUUUUUUGUUAUUUUGCCUCAGAUAUUUGUUGUCUAAAUGCCAAUUCUCUCCUUGUAAUCCACCAAUUAGAUGAUUCCUUAGCUGUUGAGCAAGGAUGCAGGGGUAAACAACCUGAUAUGUAUUGUUUUGUAAUUUUUCACUUUAAAAGGUCGGGGAACUUUCCCCAGGAGAGGAACUUAUGUAAAUUUUACACUUAGUGAAAUACGAAGUAUCUUUUGCUUUCUUUUUCUCUCUACUAUUUUCUAUUUUCUUAGUAGCCAAACAUCCUUGGAGGAUGAAAUCCCCAAGGAUGAGAGGCUAAAACCUUUUAGUUUCUUGAAGUAAUGGAUGCCAUGUGAAGCUCCCGUGUCAGGAUGGAGAUUUCCAAGCCAUGAAUGUAAGUAGCUGAGCGUCAUAAAUGUUUUCAUUCAAAGUAAAGCUUUUAAUCCCUCUGACUUGCUUUGAAUGGCCAAUACUUGAUAACCUUUUGGUCUCAGUGGAUUCUUAUUGUUAGAUCCACUGACGUUCAUUAGUUAUCUCCUACGAGCCAUUGUAUUGCAAGUCGAGGUGAUGACCUAUAUCAUUAAAAGAGCAUUUAUGAGGUUCAGCUACCCUUUUUGUAAGUUUUGAAGGACUAAAACUCAGUUGUUAAACACAUACCGGUUCGGGAAGUAAGCAUCACCUAAGUUGCUUCCCCAACUCGAGGUGAAAAGUUCCAAAAUCUCCAUUUUUACACGGUGAGUUAAGCAUGGCUAUCCAAAGCUUUGAGAAACUUCUUUUUCCAUCUUUUAAUCUAUUUGCAUGUUAGUUUAGUUUACAACACCUUCAUCUUUUUAUGUUUUCAUCUUAACCUAAUUUUUAUUAAGAAAAGUUCACUCCAUCCUCCGAACUUCAUCAGUUAAAGUAAAAACUCUUCCCAGUGUUCGAUCCUAGAGCCACUAUGCUAUAGUAGCUUUGCUACUUUAGUGUAAGGACGUUAGGUAUAAAUUUUGUUGAUACCCUUACAUGCCAAGCUACCAAGAGUCGGGUUAUCACAGAACGAGUUAUAUAUAAAGAUGGAGAAGUGCUCAUUUGCUAAGGAAGAAGUAAGCUUCCUAGGGCAUCGUAUCAGAGAUGGCAAGCUAAUGAUGGAUGACAGCAAGAUGAAAGCCAUCCAGGAAUGGGAUCCACCAACCAAGGUACCUCAACUCAAAUCUUCCUUGGUUUAGUUAAUUACUAAUGGCGGUUCAUCAAGGGUUAUUCGGCAAGGGAAACUCCACUCACUGAUCUUCUUAAGAAGAAUAAGGCAUGGGAAUGGGACGAAAGGUGCCAACAAGCCUUUGAGGAUAUGAAGAAGGUUGUGAUUGAGGAGCUAGUGUUGGCACUACCCGACCACACCAAGGUUUUUGAGGUACACACGGAUGCCUCAGACUUCGCUAUAGGAGGAGUCCUUAUACAAGAAAGACACCCAAUCGCCUUCGAGAGUCGCAAGCUAAAUGACACGGAGAGGCACUACACGAUGCAAGAAAAAGAGAUGACCGCCAUCGUCCAUUGCUUGCGCACCUAGAGGCACUAUCUUCUAGGGUCUCACUUCAUAGUGAAGACCGAUAACGUGGCCACUAGCUACUUCCAGACGCAGAAGAAGCUAAGUCCUAAACAAGCUAGGUGGCAAGACUUUUUGGCCGAGUUCGACUAUACGCUGGAGUAUAAGCCAGGAAGUGCUAAUCAUGUGGCCGACGCCCUAAGCCGUAAAGUGGAGCUAGCAUACAUGACGAGUCAGCCCCAAUGAUACAUAAUGAAUCUUCUAAGAGAGGGACUACAACAUGAUCUAGUGGUUAAGAGCCUUAUUACCCUGGCUCAUGAAGGAAAAACUAAGCGGCUCUGAGUGGAGGACAGCUUACUCUACACUAAGGGAAGAUGAAUCUAUGUGCCUAAGUGGGGGAACAUAAGACGGAAUCUGAUUAAGGAGUGCCAUGACACCAAGUGGCCUGGGCACCCUGGGCAACGACGCACGAGGGCACUACUUGAGUCAACUUACUAUUGGCCUCAAAUAUGGGAUGAAGUUGAGGCCUAUAUGAGGACUUGUCUUGUGUGCCAACAAGACAAUAUGAAGCAACGACAACCUAAAGGCUUGUUGGAACCACUAUCGAUAGCAGAGCGCCCAUGGGAUAGCGUCACCAUGGACUUCAUCAUCAGGCUACCCAAGUCGGAGGACAACGACUCUAUCAUAGUUGUAGUGGACAGGUUCUCUAAGUAUGCAACCUUCAUAGCAGCCCUGACUGACUACACUACGGAGGAGACAACAAGGCUAUUCUUAAAGCACAUAGUCAAGUAUUGGGGGUUGCCUAAGUAUAUCAUUAGUGAUCGUGACCCACGAUUCAUUGGGAAGUUUUGGAUGGAGCUCUUCAAGCUUAUAGGUUCGGAGCUUCACUUCUCCAAGAGCUUUCACCCACAGACUGAUGGUCAAACUGAGAGGGUGAACGCCUUACUGAAGCUAUACUUGAGGCACUUCGUGAGUGUCAACCAGAAAUAUUAGGCUAAGUUGCUAGACAUAGCCCAGUUCUCAUACAACCUGCAAAGGAGUGAGGCAACCAAUAAGAGCUCAUUCGAGCUAGCCACAGGGCAGCAACCGUUAACUCCUCACACUUCAACGAUAAGCUAUACAAGGAGAAGUCCAGUGGCUUUCAAGUUCGCGAAGGGGUAGCACAAGCAAGUUGAUAUAGCACACUCAUACUUGGACAAGGUCGCUAAGAAAAUGAAGAAGUGGGCUGACAAGAAGUGAUGUCACACAGAGUACAAGGUCGGAGACAUGGUACUUGUCAAGCUUUUUCCUUAACAAUUCAAAUCCCUAAGGCCGAUACAUAAGGGCCUUGUGAGGAGGUAUGAAAAACCCUUCCCCAUACUUGGAAAGGUCUGCAAGGUGUCCUAUAGAGUUUAGUUACCACCAAGGUUGAAGAUUCAUCCCGUCUUCCAUGGAAGUUACUUGAAACCAUAUCACAAAGACAAGGAUAAUCCAAGCCGAGGGUUUUCUAAGAGGGCACCUACAGCGAUUGUGACCUCCUAUGACAAGGAGGUGGAACACAUCAUUGCAUACCGACUCAUCAGGAGACGAGGUGUGCCUCCUGCUACGUAGUACUUAGUGAAAUGGAAAAGACUACCAAAGAGCGAGGCUAGCUAGGAGCUAGUAGAUGUACUAUGGCAGUUCCAGGAGUAGAUUGAGCGGUUCCAAGCAGAAGGCGCGACGAGGACGUCUGCAACCUAGGUGGGAGAAAGUGUCACAGGAUGUUUCAAAUGAGUCUCCCCAUGGGUUUAUAUAGAGUCCAAGAAGCUUCUGGAGACUUCUACACUUAGCCAUUAGUGGGAAGAGUGUGGAAGGUUCUAGAAAUGCCUAAAGAAGUCCACACAACUCUACACUAUGGUGGAAGGCAUGAGAGGAGUCCAAAGCUUUCUAGAGAAUUCCAAAGGUCUCUUGUAUAUUCUUGUACAUAGGUUUGUACGUAGAAUGAUGUAGGGUGUUCUAGAAUAUUCUUGAAUUGUAAGGAACCCUCCAAGGUUCCAAAGAGUUCCAUUGGUGCCUAUAAAUAGGUGAGGGCCUCAUUUGGCCAAGGCACCAAGCAAGUGAGUUCCUAAAGCACUUGUAAAGGCUUCCUUAAGUAAUAAAAGCUUCCAUUCCUUAAGAGUUGCCUACUACGCCUUCUCAAGCUUCCGAGUCAUGAGCAUCUUA